rnacentral:rRNA from 1 species
UACGUAGGGAGCAAGCGUUGUCCGGAAUCAUUGGGCGUAAAGCGCGCGUAGGCGGCCCGGUAAGUCCGUCGUGAAAGUCAAAGGCUCAACCUUUGAAUGUCGAUGGAUACUGCCGGGCUAGAGUCCGGAAGAGGCGAGUGGAAUUCCUGGUGUAGCGGUGAAAUGUGUUGAUAUUGGAAGGAACACCGGAGGCGAAAGCGGUGUACUGGGGCUGGUCUGACGCUGAGGCACGAAAGCCAGGGGAGCGAACGGG